UACGUAGGGUGCGAGCGUUAAUCGGAUUUACUGGGCGUAAAGCGUGCGCGGGCGGCCCGUUAAGACAGGUGUGAAAUCCCUGGGCUCAACCUAGGAAUUGCGCUUGUGACUGGCGGGCUCGAGUACGGUAGAGGGGGGUGGAAUUCCUGGUGUAGCAGUGAAAUGCGUAGAGAUCAGGAGGAACACCGAUGGCGAAGGCAGCCCCCUGGGCCUGUACUGACGCUCAUGCACGAAAGCGUGGGGAGCAAACAGG
rnacentral:rRNA from 1 species